CUGAUACUGCCCAAGAGUCCAUAUCGACGGCAGUGUUUGGCACCUCGAUGUCGGCUCAUCUCAUCCUGGGGCUGGAGCAGGUCCCAAGGGUACGGCUGUUCGCCGUUUAAAGAGGUACGUGAGCUGGGUUUAGAACGUCGUGAGACAGUUCGGUCCCUAUCUGCCGUGGGUGUAGGAUACUUGAGAGGAGUUGCCCCUAGUACGAGAGGACCGGGGUGAACGAACCACUGGUGGACCAGUUGUCGUGCCAACGGCAGUGCUGGGUAGCUAUGUUCGGACAGGAUAACCGCUGAAGGCAUCUAAGCGGGAAGCCCCCCUCAAAACAAGGUAUCCCUGAGGGCCGAGGUAGACCACCUCGUCAAUAGGCCAGAGAUGUAAGCGUGGUAACACGUUCAGUUGACUGGUACUAAUCGCCCGAUUGGCUUGAUC
rnacentral:rRNA from 1 species